rnacentral:rRNA from 1 species
UACGUAGGUGGCAAGCGUUGUCCGGAAUUAUUGGGCGUAAAGCGCGCGCAGGCGGUCCUUUAAGUCUGAUGUGAAAGCCCACGGCUCAACCGUGGAGGGUCAUUGGAAACUGAGGGACUUGAGUGCAGAAGAGAAGAGUGGAAUUCCACGUGUAGCGGUGAAAUGCGUAGAUAUCAGGAAGAACACCCGUGGCGAAGGCGGCUCUCUGGUACGUGACUGACGCUGAGACGCGAAAGCGUGGGGAGCAAACAGG